rnacentral:rRNA from 1 species
AUUGAACGCUGGCGGCAUGCCUUACACAUGCAAGUCGAACGGCAGCACGGGUGCUUGCACCUGGUGGCGAGUGGCGAACGGGUGAGUAAUACAUCGGAACAUGUCCUGUAGUGGGGGAUAGCCCGGCGAAAGCCGGAUUAAUACCGCAUACGAUCUACGGAUGAAAGCGGGGGCCCUUCGGGCCUCGCGCUAUCGGGUUGGCCGAUGGCUGAUUAGCUAGUUGGUGGGGUAAAGGCCUACCAAGGCGACGAUCAGUAGCUGGUCUGAGGGGACGACCAGCCACACUGGGACUGAGACACGGCCCAGACUCCUACGGGAGGCAGCAGUGGGGAAUUUUGGACAAUGGGCGAAAGCCUGAUCCAGCAAUGCCGCGUGUGUGAAGAAGGCCUUCGGGUUGUAAAGCACUUUUGUCCGGAAAGAAAUCCUUGGCCCUAAUACGGUCGGGGGAUGACGGUACCGGAAGAAUAAGCACCGGCUAACUACGUG